rnacentral:rRNA from 1 species
AUUGAACGCUGGCGGCAGGCUUAACACAUGCAAGUCGAGCGAGCGGCAGACGGGUGAAUUAUGUCGGGGAAACUGCCUGAUGGAGGGGGAACACCACUGGAAACGGUAGCUAAUAGCGCAUACCAUGAGAUAUGCCCAGAUGGGAUUAGCUAGUGGGUGGGGUAAUGGCUCACCUAGGCGACGCUCCCUAGCUGGUCUGAGAGGAUGACCAGCCACACUGGGACUGAGACACGGUCCAGACUCCUACGGGAGGCAGCAGUGGGGAAUAUUGCACAAUGGGCGCAAGCCUGAUGCAGCCAUGCCGCGUGUGUGAAGAAGGCCUUCGGGUUGUAAAGUACUUUCAGCGAGGAGGCGUUACUCGCAGAAGAAGCACCGGCUAACUCCGUGCCAGCAGCCGCGGUAAUAC